AGAAAAUGUCAUCACUUGCUACUACUUCCACCAUGCCCUGUGUCUUGAUGCUCCUUUGAAAAUGUCAUCACCUCACGAUGUCACUACUACUACCACCACCACCAUGCCUCAGUCGCCAUCAAGCGUAGCUGAGCUCAGCUCCGAUCAAGUUUAAAGAUGUGAUUCCUCCACAAGCGGCAUCGUGAUGAUCAACCGCAAUGCCUAAUCCACCAUCUAAAUUCGUAUAACUAUAUUAUAUUCCAAUGUUUUGUAACUUCAAAAAAAACCUGCGAUGCUUUAUACUUGAAAAAAAAAGAAAAAAAAAACUGUUCCUAGAGAAAUCUUUUGCCAUGAUUUAGUCGUUUUCUUCUAUUGUAUAAUACAAUCUAUUGGCUAUUUUGCAUCAUAAUCAAAACAUAAAGCUAGAUAGAUGGUUCUUCUAAUUAA